UGACACAUUUCAAUGUAAUCCAUUUUAAAUUCAGGCUGUAACACAACAACAUGUGGAAAAAGUCAAUGAAUGUGAAUACUUUUUGAAGGCUCUGUAGAUUAGGCUGCUUUUUGCUUCAUUACAAUCAUUUCGUGUCAUUUACAGUUAAUUAUAUAUUUUUCACCUCAAGGCCCUUUCUAAAAAUCCUGAAUUAUGAAGCCUUUAUUUUAAAUGUCACAUUUUGAGAAAGAUACCAUCAGAUCUGUUUGACAACUUUGGUAUGGUGAGGAUAUAAAUCAUAUUUCAAUUUCUCACAAAAAAGUAUUGGGGACAAUUAUGUUGGGAUAUGUCAUUACUUGACAAAAUUGACUUCCUGUCUUUCUGUAAUACAUGGAAAUGGUUCAAACCUAGGAAUCGAAUGUCCCUAUGCACAGUAGGCUAUCUGUGGUUAGGUUACACCUGGUGUUUUACCCUGUAUAACUGGUUAGGUUACACCUGGUGUUUCAGCCUGUACAACUGGUUAGGUUACACCUGGUGUUUUACCCUGUAUAACUGGUUAGGUUACACCUGGUGUUUCAGCCUGUACAACUGGUUAGGUUACACCUGGUGUUUUACCCUAUACAACUGGUUAGGUUACACCUGGUGUUUCAGCCUGUACAACUGGUUAGGUUACACCUGGUGUUUCAGCCUGUAUAACUGGUUAGGUUACACCUGGUGUUUUACCCUGUACAACUGGUUAGGUUACACCUGGUGUUUUACCCUGUAUAACUAGUUAGGUUACACCUGGUGUUUUACCCUGUACAACUGGUUAGGUUACACCUGGUGUUUCAGCCUGUAUAACUGGUUAGGUUACACCUGGUGUUUCAGCCUGUAUAACUGGUUAGGUUACACCUGGUGUUUCAGCCUGUAUAACUGUGGUUAGGUUACACCUGGUGUUUCAGCCUGUAUGACUGGUUAGGUUACACCUGGUGUUUUACCCUGUACAACUGGUUAGGUUACACCUGGUGUUUCAGCCUGUACAACUGUUGUUAGGUUAGCCCACACCUCUAUGGUUAAGGAAUGGUUCAUGACACUACAAAAUGGGUAGAGACAAUGGGGUUUAGUUGCUGAGUGUAAACUCAACCUAACUUGUCUGUGGUGUGAAUAUAGUGUAUUCAAUUGGUUUCCAAAUGUGUUUUAAUGUUUAAGCUACUCACCAGUAAUACUUGGGCGUAUUGAGAAGCUGAAUGAGAAAUAUAGAGGUGAUUUUUGCCCAGCUAAUAUACUGUAGGAUGGGCCCAUCAAUGCAAUGAUGCAACAAACACAUAGCCCACUAAGAGAGAUGCUAAGGGUAGAUUUUAUUGUGUAUAUUUUCUUUAGCACCACCUGACCCUUGGUAGUAACUUGUGACCUAUAACCUUUGACCUAUAAUGUGUGGUAAAAUUACACUAGAGAUAAAAACAAACGUAAGUUUUUGUUGUUGUUGACAUUUGUUGGUCCGGUUUCAUUCAAUUAAUAUACCAAUGUUUGUUGCCAAGUUUGUCUGAAUAUGACAGUAUUUUAUUGGUAAUCAUUGCUAACAAAUGAUUUACGGUAAUCCUAAUAAUCAAUAAGUUAAAAGGCUAUUCAACAUUUGGAGAAACUGAUCAUUUUAGUUUUUUUUUUGAGGAAAACUUAAAUUGUACGUUUGAUAAGUUGUAGUGCUAUUAUUUUGCAGUAUUUUUAAACCACAAUGUUUUCCCCGUUUGCGGUCAGCAGAAAACAGCUAGAUUUGUCAGACUUAAUAGCCUACUGUUGGUAACAUUUUAUGGCUGUUUUUUAAUAUUUUUUUUUAACUAAACUGAGUUGUAGUUUUAAGAUGUUUUAAGAUGAGGUUGGUCUGGUUUAUCUGUUUGAAAAACUGUAUGAGAAAAAAAAUCUGUAUUUGUCUCAAAAGUUCACCGCCUCAACUGUGGACUUCCUAUGGCUCAAACCUCACAGGAAACUCUGAAGAGAAGGAAACUACUUAGUAUUUGUGUGUUUUCACUGAGAAAGCAGCUUUUAAGUUGUCUUCUUUUGUGUUCUGUUUUAAGUGGAGUAAUAUGACCCUCUUGCUUUGUGCUGUGUACCUGGUUUCAUUGGGAAGACAAGAAAAGGGAAAAUCCUCUUCCCACACUGCGCUUACUGCCAAGCUGUUUAACACACACAGAGACAAAGUGCAUUUAUGCACUUAUUUGUCCUCCGAAUAUCAAUAAAUGUUCAUUUGUUGGAAACCUG